UGCAAUCUAAAAAUCAUCUGUUUAUAAAUAACAUCACUGUUAAUGAAUUAGGAGUUUAUUACUGUAUGAAGAAAGAUACACCUCCAAAAUUCAGCAGUGGCAUCAGACUACAGAUAAAUGAGCCAACAGAAAGUCCAAAUGAAGAGAUCAGGUAUAUACAUCAGAAUCAUACAGAAGUGAAAUAUAUUCAACAGAAUCAGACACUAUGGCAGACUCUUACACUUAUAUCCGGUCUGAUGAAUGGUGUUUUAUUCAUUGUGGUCAUAGUGUGCAGAAGUGAAAUGUUCAAAGCUGCAUAAAGUCUUGUUCCAGGAAAUUCAACAGCAACUGUGCUGCUUCAAAGCUGCCAACAUAAUCUGUACAACUAACCUGACAUAUAUAUCUCACAGUCUACAGAAAAAUUCAUGAUGAAUUACAUUACCUUGCCGAUUUAGUGAUAUUGAUGUUUUUGAUGUAAUAAUGUUUUUAUUCUUUUAAAUUAUUUUUAUAGCACAUGCUAGUCCCGUGAUGUUGGCAGUUUGUUUUAACAUCUACUCAUAUUUCUACAAAGGAAGCUAUCAAUUGAAUUUAUAUGAGCAUACAGUAUACAUUUGACAAUAACCAUAUAGAUUUGAGUGGUCAAACUGUAAUGAGAAAAUACUCGCUUUACCAAACUGUGUAUAGCUUGACCUGGUUGUAAAGUUAAAUGAUUAUAGUUUAGUAAUGUCAGUCAUCACUGACCAUGUCUGUUUUAGUCAAUAAUCAUGACAACGAAAA